UUCAUUCUUGUUUUAUAUUUGAAUUACUAUAUUAUAUUUGAUCAUCUCUGUACGGGCUUAAAUUUGUCCGAUGCCCAUGACUCAAAACCAAAAAACAAAAUUUCAAACCAAAAUAAACAGCCCAAUAACAAAUACAGCCCAAACUAUCAAUCUAAUGCAAAAAAUAUCAGCAGAACCCUAGGAACGUUCAGCCACCGCCCCACGCCUCUUCGUCUGCUCGGACGCUGCUCCAUCAGUCGCCCUCCACGCGUCGUAUGACAUCUGAAACAAGCACAAUAGCAGAGAAAGAAGCAUGCGAGCGCAGAGAAAUAAAGAGCAAAAAAACAAAAAAAACUAAAAGGGAAUCAAUUGUAAAUGGCUUUAAAAGCCCGGAUCUACUCUCCUGUAAGUUUUUACAGACAUUUACAAGCAAGAUUAAUCAAAAAGAACAGAAGUUUCGAAAGGUGGAUUUUUUAUCUAUUUUCGUCUCUGCCUCUUUCAUUUUUAUUUUUAUUUUUUUUCUAACAAAAAAUCUUUCAAAAUAAAGAAGGAAGAAAUAAACUUACCUGAGUAGCCUCACGUCCUCCGUCGUCGUGGUUGUUUCACCGGCGCCGAGGGCCUCACAGCUUUUUAAGGCUGGCUACAAGGACCAAAGUCCUCUUCAUUCGUCUUUUUGUCACAAAUAAAGGACUAGACCUUUAGAUCUGGUCUGAACGGGACUAAAAAACCGUUUUGCAACUCACCGACCACCAUCUACGGUGGAGGAGCGGCGGUCCGGCGAGGUGGGUAUAUUACCCUAGCCAAAUGGGAAAAUUAGAAAAAGGAGAGAGAGGGAAGGAAUGCUCUCUGU
rnacentral:lncRNA from 1 species